UGCAGUCGAGCGGUAACAUUUCUAGCUUGCUAGAAGAUGACGAGCGGCGGACGGGUGAGUAAUGCUUGGGAACAUGCCUUUAGGUGGGGGACAACCAUUGGAAACGAUGGCUAAUACCGCAUAAUGUCUACGGACCAAAGGGGGCUUCGGCUCUCGCCUUUAGAUUGGCCCAAGUGGGAUUAGCUAGUUGGUGAGGUAAUGGCUCACCAAGGCGACGAUCCCUAGCUGGUUUGAGAGGAUGAUCAGCCACACUGGAACUGAGACACGGUCCAGACUCCUACGGGAGGCAGCAGUGGGGAAUAUUGCACAAUGGGCGCAAGCCUGAUGCAGCCAUGCCGCGUGUGUGAAGAAGGCCUUCGGGUUGUAAAGCACUUUCAGUUGUGAGGAAAGGUUAGUAGUUAAUACCUGCUAGCUGUGACGUUAGCAACAGAAGAAGCACCGGCUAACUCCGUGCCAGCAGCCGCGGUAAUACGGAGGGUGCGAGCGUUAAUCGGAAUUACUGGGCGUAAAGCGUACGCAGGCGGUUUGUUAAGCGAGAUGUGAAAGCCCCGGGCUCAACCUGGGAACUGCAUUUCGAACUGGCAAACUAGAGUGUGAUAGAGGGUGGUAGAAUUUCAGGUGUAGCGGUGAAAUGCGUAGAGAUCUGAAGGAAUACCGAUGGCGAAGGCAGCCACCUGGGUCAACACUGACGCUCAUGUACGAAAGCGUGGGGAGCAAACGGGAUUAGAUACCCCGGUAGUCCACGCCGUAGACGAUGUCUACUAGGAGUUCGGUUUUUCGGAACUGUCUUCCAAAGCU
rnacentral:rRNA from 1 species